rnacentral:rRNA from 1 species
AGGGUGUAAACGCUGCAGACUUGGUGUUGGAAGCCCUUUGGGGGCAUUCAGUGCCGGAGAGAAGUUGUUAAGUCUGCUACUUGGGGAGUACGUCCGCAAGGAUGAAACUUAAAGGAAUUGGCGGGGGGAGCACCGCAACGGGAGGAGCGUGCGGUUUAAUUGGAUUCAACACCGUAAAACUCACCAGGGAAGACUGUUACAUGAAGGCCGAGAUGAAGACUCUGCUAGAUUUUCAGAGAAGUGGUGCAUGGCGUCAGUGACU